UACGAAAGGGGCUAGCGUUGUUCGGAAUUACUGGGCGUAAAGCGCGUGUAGGCGGAUUCUUAAGUCGGGGGUGAAAGCCCAGGGCUCAACCCUGGAAUUGCCUUCGAUACUGAGAAUCUCGAGUGUGGGAGAGGUGAGCGGAAUUCCGAGUGUAGAGGUGAAAUUCGUAGAUAUUCGGAGGAACACCAGAGGCGAAGGCGGCUCACUGGACCAUAACUGACGCUGAGACGCGAAAGCGUGGGGAGCAAACAGG
rnacentral:rRNA from 1 species